rnacentral:rRNA from 1 species
UACGUAGGGUGCAAGCGUUGUCCGGAAUUAUUGGGCGUAAAGAGCUCGUAGGCGGUCUGUCGCGUCGGCUGUGAAAACUCGGGGCUCAACUCCGAGCUUGCAGUCGAUACUGGCAAGCUAGAGUGCGGUAGAGGGUAGUGGAAUUCCCGGUGUAGCAGUGAAAUGCGUAGAGAUCGGGAGGAACACCAGUGGCGAAGGCGGCUACCUGGACCAGCACUGACACUGAAGCACGAAAGCGUGGGGAGCAAACAGG